CGCCUAACACAUGCNAGUCGAACGAGAAAGCAGGAGCAAUCCUGUGAGUAAAGUGGCGUACGGGUGAGUAACACGUGGAUUAUCCACCUCUUUGUGGGGGAUAACCCUGGGAAACCGGGGCUAAUACCGCAUAAGCUCGAGAGAGGAAAGCAGCAAUGCGCAGAGAGAGGAGUCCGCGGCCGAUUAGCUAGUUGGUAGGGUAAAAGCCUACCAAGGCUACGAUCGGUAGCCGGCCUGAGAGGGCACACNGCCACACUGGCACUGAAACACGGGCCAGACUCCUACGGGAGGCAGCAGUGGGGAAUCUUGCACAAUGGGGGCAACCCUGAUGCAGCGACGCCGCGUGAGCGAUGAAGCCCUUCGGGGUGUAAAGCUCUUUCGGCAGGGACGAUGAUGACGGUACCUGCAGAAGCAGCUGCGGCUAACUACGUGCCAGCAGCCGCGGUAAUACGUA
rnacentral:rRNA from 1 species